UGGUCUCCUUGUUAGGGAAGGUCUAAUCUCUCUUUAGUUAUUUACCUAUGCUUUCAUGCUCCCUAUGUCUCUAUAUUUGGAUUGAUAUUACUAAUUUUCUUCAGAGAAUAAAGUAACUUGUUUUUAUUUAUGGUAUAUUUGAUCUGUCGGAUUAGAUAGUUAGAUCUGUGGAUCAUUAAGAAUGAGAGAUUUGUCUAGUUCUCGUUCAGUUACGCCCAUGCCUUGAUGAUUUGGAACAUUGGGAUAUACUUAUUAAGUAUUUUACUUCUGGAUAAUUGAGUGAUUUGCUUAUAUUUAAGGCGCAGAGUGGUUUAAUGUGUUGGAUUGAAUUGGUAAGCCGUGAUUUGAAAAAUAGAGAUAUACUGGUAAUUCGUCUAUGACUA
rnacentral:lncRNA from 1 species